UUCAAGAAAAGAUUUAGGGCUGGAGAUGGAGUUCAGGUUAGUGCGCUUGCCUCGCACAUUCGAGACGCUGAGUUCUAUGUCCACGUCACACAAACAAACAAAGCAAAACAGCUCUCGGUAAGGUUUUAACUGUGCCAGCCCAAGGGGCACUGGGACAGUAGGCGGUUCUGACCCGGGGGCCAAGGCCAUCCGCAGGCGGGCUCCCCGGCCCACAUUGGCCAAGCUUAGAGUCAGCAAAUGGAAUGUGUUUCAGGUGUGUGCUGGCUCCAGGAACUCAGGGGAGAGGUUCUGCUCCAAGCAAGUAAAAAAAUCCAGCUUCCCCACUCCUUCAGCGGGCCUCCACCACAGCCCGGCACCGAAGUGGAGGAGGAGCCCGAAACGUGCUAGACAGAAAAACAAACAUACACAGCGCAACCUCCGCACGGAGUUCUGGGCCAAGGAAACUUGGCAAGGCCCUUCCUGAGAGCUCGUAGAAGGGCUGGGAAGCCUGGAAGCCACGGUGAGACGAGGAGAGGAGAGGGGUGCAAAGGGCAGGCUCCAGAGCAUAAACUCAAGAGGACAAAGACCACGGUGACAAGCUGACCUCAGUGCCUGGCCCACAGGCACGUGAAUAAAUGUGUUGAAGACUUCGCCCUGGACCAGCAGACCUAUGCACCAGGAGAGGUUUCCAGCUGGUGUGGCCCAGAACUCUGGGAGGCUGAAGCAAGAGGAUGCCAAAUUCCAGCCCAGUCUGAGCAAC